CUUUCUUCUGCCCAACACUCUUUACUUUUGAGACUCAUUAGAGCGAGUGACCUGAUGUCAGAUGCUUCCAGGUGCACGUCUCUGUGUUCGUUUUCCGCACAGUAGAAGGUUGGAGGGCUCCAACGGCUCCCACAGACUGGCUGUGGUGUUUAGCAUCUGGUUAUGAAAAGGAUUAAAAAGCCCUUUUCAGCAGUAGCUCAUCUCUUGCUAUAGAGUAGGAAAAUAUAUUUACAACUAAAGAUAUGAAUAACCUGUUAGAGGCCAUUUUCAAGUGAGUAGAGAGUUAAUAACUUGGAUUAGAGUUGGGUUUUGUUCUUAUACUGCCUUAGGUUUAUACCCCCUUUUAUUCACCUAGUAUUUUCUGUCAUUUAUAGUUCUGGAUUAUCUUCAACUGAGUUUGAUAUUUCAAUGUGGCUUUUUUUUUUUUGAAAUGGAGUCUCACUUUGUCACCGAGGCUGGAGUGCAGUGGCAUGAUCUCUGCUCACUGCAAGCUCCGCCUCCCGGGUUCACGCCAUUCUCCUGUCUCAGCCUCCCAAGUAGCUGGGACUACAGGCGUCCGCCACCACGCCUGGCUAAUUUUUUGUAUUUUUAGUAGAGACGGGGUUUCACCGUGUUAGCCAGGAUGGUCUCGAUCUCCUGACCUUGUGAUCCACCUGCCUCGGCCUCCCAAAGUGCUGGGAUUACAGGCGUGAGCCACCGCGCCUGGUGUAAACGGGGCUUUUUGGCAGUCUGUUCUGAGAUACGUCUCCACAACGGUUACUUGAAGGAAAAUGCAUAUGGGACCAGCUGCUAUAAUAUAGUCUUCCCUCCAUACCUGCCCCUUCAUUAGGGGUUUGGGGGGUGGAUUUGGAAGGCUGUGACAGAACUGCUUGGUUAAUGGGGGUCCCACAGGUACCUGCUUCCUUCCACCAAGCAGCAGGUAGCAGAGGAAGGAAGCAGUAAAUACCAAACUCCCCGUUCACCCAGUUGCUCGCUGCCGACAUUCUCAUGACUGUUUCAGGUCAUUGACGAGACUCUGGAUGUUAAGGAAAUGAUUUUCAAUGCCGAGAGAGUUGGAGGCCUCGAGGAAGAGCGGGAAUCCGUGGGCCCACUGCGGGAGGACUUCAGUCUGAGUAGCAGUGCUCUCAUUGGCCUGCUGGUCAUCGCAGUGGCCAUUGCCACGGUCAUCGUCAUCAGCCUGGUGAUGCUGAGGAAGAGGCAGUAUGGCACCAUCAGCCACGGGAUCGUGGAGGUUGAUCCAAUGCUCACCCCAGAAGAGCGUCACCUGAACAAGAUGCAGAACCAUGGCUAUGAGAACCCCACCUACAAAUACCUGGAGC
rnacentral:sRNA from 1 species